GCCGGGAAACAGCCACCGCGCCAGCGCAUGCGCCCUCCGAAGCCGACACAGCCAGCGUGUGCUACCUGGAGCCUAGCGGGAGUUGGCGGUAGCGUCCCACACUGAACCAGGAUGGAAGGGCACCUGCCACAAGAAGCGGCCCUGAGGGCGUCACGCCGUGCCCUGCCCUCGUGCCAGGGGCACUUCCUGUCCCGGGAAACUUGGAAGUAGAGGCUCUCCUUUGGGUAACCUCGUUUACCAGCCAGCCAGCCGGCUUCGUGGGGACAGGCCUCAGAGACGGGCCACAGAGUGUGGCCUCAGAGAAUGUUUAGGAGUUAGACAAGUGAACGAGGAUGUUCAGAGGUCAUGGAAGGAUGGAGACAGGAUGGUCGGCGAUGGGGCCGGAUGAUUUCAGUAUUUGCAUGCUACUCAGGAUGCUCUGCCUCAUGGCUUCUCACACAAACCUUUGCUUUCCCAAGGGUGAAUAUUUCCUAGAAGAUGCAGACUAAAUUCCAAACUAUUCCUGGCUCCAUAAAUCAUGACUGUGUAGAAGAACCCAUUUAAUUCUCCUAAUGGUGAGGAAUAUGUCACAUGGGAUAUCAGCAGUUCCAACCUCACCUGGAGUAAUCUGAGGAUCCCAGUGAACACUGAUAGCCAGGCAGAUGGACAGACCUUGGCCAGACCUUCCCCAUGCACUCUUAGUUGCUCUUCCCAGGCCUUAGGAUGGAACUUCCAUGAAGCCUGGACUCCCCAACUGCCUGACGCUGACUGCCUGGAAUGAUGAGGGCCUCUCUGCCUGUGUUAUCAUGGCCCUUACUGUGUUUCCUCCUGGGUUGAUUCAUCUUUAUGAGUGUCUGAUGACUAUGUGUGCACAUCUAGGCUCCCCAAGAAUCCUCAUCUCAGCUCUGCCACCUCCCAGGUAGGACUUAGACAACUAACUUAGGCUUGCCAACCUUCCAUUUCCUAGCCUGCAAAGUCAUGAUAAUAUUAGCCUCUCACACAGGGAUUGUGAGGGUGAAGUGGCUGAUGUAGUUAAAACACAAAGUCAAGUGAUUGGCAUACACAUAACCAACUUUAUUAUUAGUUGUCUCGGUGGUGGGUGGUCCGGGAUUUGGGAGUUUUAUGCCAUACCUUCUCUCCUGGGGAAGAACACGAACACAAGCACUAUGGGCAGGCCAGUGACCUCACCUUGGCUCAACCCAGGCUCUUCUGGCUUCACAGAUACCUAUCAGUGUGGUUUGGGCUACUUGGAAGUGGGGGAAAGAAGGAUGUUUGUUUUCUAUUUUUGUAGAAGCCAAAGGAGCUAUGGCUUUCCAGAUUUAAAUCAACAUGCCCCUGGUUCCAGUGGGGGUAAUUAGCCCUACUCAGCCAGCAGGCCUAGGGAGUUGCUCUCCUCAGAGUGGAUUCCUAGCUGUUAGCAGACCUCUAGGAUCUCUGCUGCCUUAGUGACAGAGGACACAGUACAGUAGACCCAGGAGACCUGGAAGUGUGGGUUAGCGGUGCCCCUACCUUGCAUUCAAACUCUCAGUUCCACUUCCUCUGAAAAGCAUACCCAGAAACAUGCCUGUUCUGUCCACAUCCAGCCCUGGCAUUCAGCCCAGGGACUCCUGCUGGCUGUGAGAUGGUGCUGGCCUCUGGUUGUCUGGACCUCUGAUUCAGUCUCCCAUUUUAAUUCACUGUUCAGGGGCUGUUUUCUUCCCCUUGACCUAGAGCAGGGGCUCCUCAACAGAAGGACUUUGUCUGACUUGUCCUAUCCCCUGCGCUGGGCUUCAGUGGGGCCUCAGGGGCUAAUGGUUGGGCUGGGUUCUCCAUAUAACUCUGAGCAUUUCCCUCACCUGAACUUCUAAGGGGUUCACCAGCCACCAGGCUUAAAAGCACCCCAGAGGGAUCUUUGGCUGUAGCACUUGUAUCACCACAUUUAGGUUAUUGAUGUAAUAAGUAACAGGGAAGGUGCUAAGACUGGGUCCAGACUUUCUCCUGGUGGAGGGGUCAUAGAUGAGCUGUCUACACUCACCUAGGAAAAUUCACUAGGCUUAUCUUUAUGACUAGUGAACAAACAAAUCUCUCAGUUUGUGCAAACCAGCUGUGUGGUGUGUCUGGUACCAUUCCUUCCUGGAUCCAGUUGCUUCCCAGCCUGGAACAGGAUGCACCUAGAGGCCCUGCAGAAAUUUCCCAGCCCCCUAAACUUCACUUGCCAAAGGUAUCUUCUUCCCACUUCACUGUGACAUGUGACACAUGGCAGUAAUUUUGGAGAAAGGACAGAUGGGAAAACAGUCAUUUCUCAUGCCACAACAGAACUGAUGGAUGGAUACACGUCCACUUUCUUCUUCAGCCUGUGCUCUCAAAUGCUUGUGAAAUACUAGAGGGAAAAGGGAAUCUGAAAAAUCCAUCCAGGUAGGGAAAGGCCCAGUCAGAGCCAGCUCACUACUGGAAUUUGAGGAGAUGCUUAGUCAUGGGAAGGCAAAUCUUGGGAGAAUGAAGAGAGGCACCUGGAUGCCAGCUGGGCCACAGGCAAGGCAACAUGCAGAUGAGCCCCGGGAAGGUAAAGAGGGGCAGAGUGCAGACUCUGGGGCUUCUCUGCUUCCCCACACACGGUCCACUUCACCCCAGGUGGCUACUUUUAGUGUGGCAACCUCCACAGGGAGGCUCAGGAUCCAAAGAUGAAGAUGCUGCCGAGGAUGAAGAAGAAGGCAAACUAUCGCAGGCUUCGGAUUAUUCCAGAGAGGCUGGGAGAGCUGGCUCCUAUCUACAGAGCCCCCUUGGCUCUGCACUCUUCUUUUUGUUGUGCUGCUGCUGCUGCUGCUGCUGCUGCUGCUGAGGCCUGUCUCCCCUCCCAAAGAGAGGCAACUCAGGAAUGUGGCUCCCUGUCCCCAGUCUUCCUCUGGGAUGGAGAAACAGCACUGAAGAGGAAGGAAAGAAGCCCAAGGAAACAGAGCGUUUCUCCACUGGCUGAGGCUUGUCAGCACUACUCACUACAUGAGGAAUAAGGCAGCUCCCAAGCAAGCCUCAGGCUGGUAUAAAGCUACAAACAAGAGACCUGCUCUUCGCCCUGCUCAGCAGCCCACCUAGGCUGGCCUGGACAAACUUGUUUGUAUACUAAGGUCUCCAGCUGGCUGUGGUAGAGUAGGAAAAGGGAACAAAGCUGGAAGGUAUAGAAUUUGCUUGGAGUAUUGUCUGCAUAAUUCCUUUCCUAUCGUAAUGUGCAAAUCUUUAUUUGCGUUAUGUGCAAAAAGCCAGUAAAAAAUCAUCAGAAAUGUUUACCACCA